AGAAGAGGAAGAUGGUUGUUCAGCUUUUUAAAAACUUGUUUUACAGAUUAAAGAAAACAGCAAAAAGAGGACCCAACAAAUGCAACCAGCAAGGUAGAGCUAUAUGAUAUCACAUACACCUCACUUCAUCCCUCUGUGGAAGCCAGAAUGUCAUUGAGAGACACCCCAGGAUAUUAUUCUGAAAAAUCCAAGAUAAAGUCACCUGGUCCUGCUUACUUGAAUAUGUUAUGAAAAAAUUACAAGUAAAAUGAAUAUAGGUAACAUUCUAUGAAUAUAC
rnacentral:lncRNA from 1 species